rnacentral:rRNA from 1 species
UACAGAGGGUGCAAGCGUUAAUCGGAAUUACUGGGCGUAAAGCGCGCGUAGGUGGUUGAUUAAGUCAGAUGUGAAAUCCCCGGGCUUAACCUGGGAACUGCAUCUGAUACUGGUCAACUUGAGUAUGGUAGAGGGUAGUGGAAUUUCCGGUGUAGCGGUGAAAUGCGUAGAUAUCGGAAGGAACACCAGUGGCGAAGGCGACUACCUGGACCAAUACUGACACUGAGGUGCGAAAGCGUGGGUAGCAAACAGGAUUAGAUACCCCGGUAGUCC